rnacentral:rRNA from 1 species
UGGGGAAUAUUGCACAAUGGGCGCAAGCCUGAUGCAGCAACGCCGCGUGAACGAUGAAGGUCUUCGGAUCGUAAAGUUCUGUUGCAGGGGAAGAUAAUGACGGUACCCUGUGAGGAAGCCCCGGCUAACUACGUGCCAGCAGCCGCGGUAAUACGUAGGGGGCUAGCGUUGUUCGGAUUUACUGGGCGUAAAGCGCACGUAGGCGGACUUUUAAGUCAGGGGUGAAAUCCCGGGGCUCAACCCCGGAACUGCCUUUGAUACUGGAAGUCUUGAGUAUGGUAGAGGUGAGUGGAAUUCCGAGUGUAGAGGUGAAAUUCGUAGAUAUUCGGAGGAACACCAGUGGCGAAGGCGGCUCACUGGACCAUUACUGACGCUGAGGUGCGAAAGCGUGGGGAGCAAACAGG